rnacentral:rRNA from 1 species
GGUUAAGCGACUAAGCGUACACGGUGGAUGCCCAGGCAGUCAGAGGCGAUGAAGGACGUGCUAAUCUGCGAUAAGCGUCGGUAAGGUGAUAUGAACCGUUAUAACCGGCGAUUUCCGAAUGGGGAAACCCAGUGUGUUUCGACACACUAUCAUUAACUGAAUCCAUAGGUUAAUGAGGCGAACCGGGGGAACUGAAACAUCUAAGUACCCCGAGGAAAAGAAAUCAACCGAGAUUCCCCCAGUAGCGGCGAGCGAACGGGGAGCAGCCCAGAGCCUGAAUCAGUGUGUGUGUUAGUGGAAGCGUCUGGAAAGGCGCGCGAUACAGGGUGACAGCCCCGUACACAAAAAUGCACAUGCUGUGAGCUCGAUGAGUAGGGCGGGACACGUGGUAUCCUGUCUGAAUAUGGGGGGACCAUCCUCCAAGGCUAAAUACUCCUGACUGACCGAUAGUGAACCAGUACCGUGAGGGAAAGGCGAAAAGAACCCCGGCGAGGGGAGUGAAAAAGAACCUGAAACCGUGUACGUACAAGCAGUGGGAGCACGCUUAGGCGUGUGACUGCGUACCUUUUGUAUAAUGGGUCAGCGACUUAUAUUCUGUAGCAAGGUUAACCGAAUAGGGGAGCCGAAGGGAAACCGAGUCUUAACUGGGCGUUAAGUUGCAGGGUAUAGACCCGAAACCCGGUGAUCUAGCCAUGGGCAGGUUGAAGGUUGGGUAACACUAACUGGAGGACCGAACCGACUAAUGUUGAAAAAUUAGCGGAUGACUUGUGGCUGGGGGUGAAAGGCCAAUCAAACCGGGAGAUAGCUGGUUCUCCCCGAAAGCUAUUUAGGUAGCGCCUCGUGAAUUCAUCUCCGGGGGUAGAGCACUGUUUCGGCAAGGGGGUCAUCCCGACUUACCAACCCGAUGCAAACUGCGAAUACCGGAGAAUGUUAUCACGGGAGACACACGGCGGGUGCUAACGUCCGUCGUGAAGAGGGAAACAACCCAGACCGCCAGCUAAGGUCCCAAAGUCAUGGUUAAGUGGGAAACGAUGUGGGAAGGCCCAGACAGCCAGGAUGUUGGCUUAGAAGCAGCCAUCAUUUAAAGAAAGCGUAAUAGCUCACUGGUCGAGUCGGCCUGCGCGGAAGAUGUAACGGGGCUAAACCAUG